GACGAACGCUGGCGGCGUGCUUAACACAUGCAAGUCGAACGGAAAGGCCCUGCUUUUGUGGGGUGCUCGAGUGGCGAACGGGUGAGUAACACGUGAGUAACCUGCCCUUGACUUUGGGAUAACUUCAGGAAACUGGGGCUAAUACCGGAUCGGAGCUCCUGCUGCAUGGUUGGGGUUGGAAAGUUUCGGCGGUUGGGGCUGGACUCGCGGCUUAUCAGUUUGUUGGUGGGGUAGUGGCUUACCAAGGCUUUGACGGGUAGCCGGCCUGAGAGGGUGACCGGCUACAGUGGGACAGAGGUACGGCCAAUACGCAUACGGGAGGCAGCAGUGGGAAAUAUUGCACAAUGGGCGGAAGCAGGAUGCAGCAACGCCGCGUGCGGGAUGACGGCUGUCGGGUUGUAAACCGCUUUCGCGUGUGACGAAGCGUGAGUGACGGUAAUGGGUAAAGAAGCACCGGCUAACUACGUG
rnacentral:rRNA from 1 species